UACCCUGUUUUAUCCCUUCCUAUUGGGAGAUGGCAGUCAGAUGGGCAACAUUGGGGUUGAGUUUUAAAGAGUUAAACCAUCAAGUGUUGCAUUGCUAGAAAGGGUGGGGGAGAGAAGUACAGGAUCGCUGACGGGAGGAAGAAAAGCCGAGUGGUUUCUGGGCUCCUGCAAGAGUCGAAGCAGCAGCACCUGGUGGAUGAAGAGGAUACCAACAAGAGUACUCUGCACAACUGAGAAUAACCAGCAUCUUUGAAAAUGAAAGCAAAUUGAGCUUUCAGGAAAGCACACAAUUCUUCUCUUUCCCCAGCUGGUGAGAGACAAAGGGGAGAAAAUCCAGAACAAAUUUCAAACUGGAAAAAAUAGAGUAUGCAGAACUCAAC